rnacentral:lncRNA from 1 species
UUUUCUAUCAGAUAAUUCCUACUUGUCUUUCACAUUUUGAUCUAGUUAUUAUCUUCUCCUGGAAGGCUUCCCCUGACCCUACUUCUGGCCUCAUCACAAAAUGUUCCUGAAGGAUCUCAUUGUGAUCAAUGUGCUAGUACAUCGUGCUCCUUGAAGGUCCCAUUUGUGAAAUCCUUCCGGAGGGAUGUUGUGCUGAGGACUAUCAAAUGAGGUACUCCUUGCCCAAUGCAUUGACCACGUGGAUCAAGCUAUAUCCAUGAGACUUCCGUGUUUUCCUGAGAAUUGCUUACCUCAUAAAACUGUUGAAGGAUUAACAGAUAAUGCAAGCUUCGACUUAAAGUGCCCAACUACAGGAACUUUACCUCCGACUUUGGAAUUGUACGCAACUCCAACCCCGCACUUGUAA